rnacentral:rRNA from 1 species
GUAAGCAGAGGAGAUUUCAUCAAACUUGGAUUUUGUAAGUAGUUGCGAAUGAACACAAACAUGUUCAACCUCAAAAUUGGUGUGCUCCAUGUGUGCACUGACUUGUUUCAGAGUUCAUCACUAUCAAAGCUGCAUGCAAAUGAUUUUUGAAAGGAUACAACAUGGGAUGUGACAUUCAUGUCUGUGUGCUUGCUUUGAUUACAGUGUGUGCUCUAUGAUUCACAUUUCUUGUAACUGAAAUGCAAAUUGCAUGGUAAAGUUCAUGUGAUGUGAUAUGUGUUUGAGAUUCAUGAUGUGCAAGUACCAUGAGGGAAAUGUGAAAAGGACUUUGAAAAGAGAAUUAAACAAAGCCUGCAUUUGCUGAUUGUAAACGUAAGUGAGGAUUGUAAUAGUAAUGUCUCUGCAUCAGUUGACAUGUCUUACGUGUUGUUGUAUGCUUGGCAUUAUGUUCAGCACCACUGAGUGUGCGUACUGGCUUUGAUUGAACUGAUUUCAUGUGGAACUGUUGAAUGAAGAUGCAUGUACACUUGUGUGAAGUAAUGUACGCACCAACUGUGAUCAUGCACUGUUUGCACAUGUUUUCAUGUGCUUCCUUGCUAAUUCUUGAUGUCACUUGGCAUAUUAUAACUACCCUCACUUGACCCG